rnacentral:rRNA from 1 species
GGGGUGUAAAGAUCUGUCAGUGGGGACGAAACUUGACGGUACCCACAGAGGAAGCACCGGCUAACUCCGUGCCAGCAGCCGCGGUAAUACGGAGGGUGCAAGCGUUGUCCGGAAUCAUUGGGCGUAAAGAGUUCGUAGGUGGUUUGUUAAGUUUGGUGUUAAAUGCAGAGGCUCAACUUCUGUUCGGCAUCGGAUACUGGCAGACUAGAAUGCGGUAGAGGUAAAGGGAAUUCCUGGUGUAGCGGUGAAAUGCGUAGAUAUCAGGAGGAACAUCGGUGGCGUAAGCGCUUUACUGGGCCGUAAUUGACACUGAGGAACGAAAGCCAGGGUAGCAAAUGGGAUUAGAUACCCCAGUAGUCCUGGCCGUAAACGAUGGAUACUAGGUGUUGCGGGUAUCGACCCCUGCAGUGCCGUAGCAAACGCGUUAAGUAUCCCGCCUGGGGAGUA